rnacentral:lncRNA from 1 species
CUCAUGCACUUGAAUUUGCUCUGAGACUUCUUGUUGCCACCUUCUGCCUUCCGGUGUUGGGAUUUUUAUUGUUUCCUGCUGGGGAUUCUUGUUGUAACCUUCUGCCUUCCGGUGGGGUUAUUGACUUCAAAAUCUGCAGUAUAAGACUGAAAAGUAUUCCUCUCGUUAUACAGGUGGGUGCCUGGACAUGAAAUGAAAAUGUAUACCCGCAUUUUACUGGUGGGCGACCUGGAACUUAAAUGUAUUCUCGCAUUUUACUGGUGGGCGACCUGGAAAUGGAAAACUGAAAUGUAUGCCCGCAUUAUACUGGUGGGCGACCUAGAAUAUGGAAUGAACAGACAAAAUGUAUUCCCUCAUUAUACUGGUGGGCGACCUAGAACUGAAAUGUAUUCUCGCAUUAUACUGGUGGGCGACCUAGAACUUAAAUGUAUUCCCGCAUUAUACUGAUGGGCGACCUAGAACUUAAAUGUAUUCCCGCAUUUUACUGGUGGGCGACCUAGAACUUAAAAGUAUUCCCGCAUUAUACUGGUGGGCGACAUAGAAUUAAAUGUAUUCCCGCAUUUUACUGGUGGGCGACCUAGAACUGAAAAGUAUUCCCGUAU